rnacentral:rRNA from 1 species
AACGAGCGCUGGCGGCAGGCCUAACACAUGCAAGUCGAACGCCCCGCAAGGGGAGUGGCAGACGGGUGAGUAACACGUGGGAACCUUCCCUAUAGUACGGAAUAGCCCAGGGAAACUUGGAGUAAUACCGUAUACGCCCGAAAGGGGAAAGAAUUUCGCUAUAGGAUGGGCCCGCGUAGGAUUAGCUAGUUGGUGAGGUAAUGGCUCACCAAGGCGACGAUCCUUAGCUGGUUUGAGAGAACGACCAGCCACACUGGGACUGAGACACGGCCCAGACUCCUACGGGAGGCAGCAGUGGGGAAUAUUGGACAAUGGGCGCAAGCCUGAUCCAGCCAUGCCGCGUGAGUGAUGAAGGCCUUAGGGUUGUAAAGCUCUUUUGGCGGGGACGAUAAUGACGGUACCCGCAGAAUAAGUCCCGGCUAACUUCGUG